rfam:Triticum aestivum genome assembly, contig: Triticum_aestivum_CS42_TGACv1_scaffold_513205_6BS
CAAAUACUUCCUCCGUUCCAAAUUACUUGUCUUGGAUUUGUCUAUAUACGGAUGUAUCUAGCACUAUAAUGAGUCUAGAUACAUCCGUAUCUAGACAAAUCAAAGACAAGUAAUUCGGAACGGAGGGAGUAGAAA